UUGGUCCUCAACCAAUGGCAGUGCCACCAGUGCAGCAUAUGUCACGACUAGAUCAGCCUUACCCGCCAACUGUUGGAUAUCCUCAACAAGCUUAUCCAGCUCCUCCUCAACAAGCCUAUCCACCUCCUGGCUAUCCGCCUACUGGCUAUCCACCCGCUGGCAGCUAUCCUGCCUCUGGUUAUCCACCUCCUGGCUAUCAGAAGUGAUCUUUUAAAGGAUUUGGUGCAGCUUUCUGGAAUUAAAAGAAAAUUGGAAACAAGUUUAUCUACCGUGGAUAACGUUGUGAUUUUGUAUAGGUAUUCAUUGGUG
rnacentral:lncRNA from 1 species